AGUGAACGCUGGCGGUAGGCCUAACACAUGCAAGUCGAACGGCAGCACAGUAAGAGCUUGCUCUUACGGGUGGCGAGUGGCGGACGGGUGAGGAAUACAUCGGAAUCUACUUUUUCGUGGGGGAUAACGUAGGGAAACUUACGCUAAUACCGCAUACGACCUCCGGGUGAAAGCAGGGGAUCUUCGGACCUUGCGCGAUUGAAUGAGCCGAUGUCGGAUUAGCUAGUUGGCGGGGUAAAGGCCCACCAAGGCGAGGAUCCGUAGCUGGUCUGAGAGGAUGAUCAGCCACACUGGAACUGAGACACGGUCCAGACUCCUACGGGAGGCAGCAGUGGGGAAUAUUGGACAAUGGGCGCAAGCCUGAUCCAGCCAUGCCGCGUGGGUGAAGAAGGUCUUCGGGUUGUAAAGCCCUGUUGUUGGGGAAGAAAGGCAGCGGGUGAAUACCCCGCGGUACUGACGGUACCCAAAGAGAAAGCACCGGCUAACUUCGUG
rnacentral:rRNA from 1 species